AGAAGCAAGGCUGCCCCACACUAAGUGCAUACGGUAGAGAGGUGUAUCACAACUCUGGGUACCCCCAGGAAGCAUCAACUCCUAAAACCCUCCGUAUCAGAUUGCAACCCUUCAGCUUCUUAAAAGGAGCCAUUAAGUAGGUAAAAUUCUGGGCAGUUUAGCCUUGACAGUGUCCCCUUUACAAACAACUCAAUAGAAGGGACCAUCACUGUAAUGGGAAAAACAUUUGAUCAGCACAUCACAUUGCUGUCGCAGACUCACUCUGGGUGCGGUGCUCCUGUCUUCGUCAGCAAGGUCAGCACAAAGAACAUGAAAAUGACAAAAACUGCCAGACCGACCCAAAAUCCAAUCACAAUGGAAUCUGCAGGAGAGAGGACCCCUGACUCAUUCAAUGCACAGGCUGGAUGCACAAAGAGGCAGAAUUAAGGCUGCACAGGCAAUUGUAAAUUUGGCUUUUCCUAAC